rnacentral:rRNA from 1 species
UUUAUAGCUUGCUAUGAUAAAAAUUAGUGGCAGACGGGUGAGUAAUGCAUAGGAAUCUACCUAGUAGUAUGGGAUAGCCACUAGAAAUGGUGGGUAAUACUGUAUAAUCCCUGCGGGGGAAAGAUUUAUCGCUAUUAGAUGAGCCUAUGUUAGAUUAGCUAGUUGGUAGGGUAAAGGCCUACCAAGGCAGUGAUCUAUAGCUGGUCUGAGAGGAUGAUCAGCCACACUGGAACUGAGAUACGGUCCAGACUCCUACGGGAGGCAGCAGUGGGGAAUAUUGGACAAUGGGCGCAAGCCUGAUCCAGCUAUGCCGCGUGAGUGAGGAAGGCCUUAGGGUUGUAAAACUCUUUCAGUGGGGAAGAUAAUGACGGUACCCACAGAAG